rnacentral:rRNA from 1 species
GAUGAACGCUGGCGGCGUGCCUAAUACAUGCAAGUCGAGCGAACGGACGAGAAGCUUGCUUCUCUGAUGUUAGCGGCGGACGGGUGAGUAACACGUGGAUAACCUACCUAUAAGACUGGGAUAACUUCGGGAAACCGGAGCUAAUACCGGAUAAUAUUUUGAACCGCAUGGUUCAAAAGUUAAAGACGGUCUUGCUGUCACUUAUAGCUGGAUCCGCGCUGCAUUAGCUAGUUGGUAAGGUAACGGCUUACCAAGGCAACGAUGCAUAGCCGACCUGAGAGGGUGAUCGGCCACACGGGAACUGAGACACGGUCCAGACUCCUACGGGAGGCAGCAGUAGGGAAUCUUCCGCAAUGGGCGAAAGCCUGACGGAGCAACGCCGCGUGAGUGAUGAAGGUCUUCGGAUCGUAAAACUCUGUUAUUAGGGAAGAACAUAUGUGUAAGUAACUGUGCACAUCUUGACGGUACCUAAUCAGAAAGCCACGGCUAACUACGUG